AAAUUGUUUCCACCUUCAACCACAUCAGGAGGUGAUUUGGAGAUCCUCAGUGGAAUACUAAUAUUUCUAGAAGUCUUUUAAUUUUAAGCAAGUGAGGGGGCAGUUUGAGGCACAGCUAGCUCUGCUUUUAACAAAAUAGUAAUCUCUCACUUUCAUAACAUCUUUUGAUUUAAAAGGGCUCAAGCUGAGGCCCUCACCCUUCUGAGAGCAUGGCACAGCCGGAGCUGGGAGUCUUGGCCAGGCAUGCUGGAACCAGAAGGGCUCUGCACGGAGCAGUGAGCCCACCUGCCUGAUCGUCCUGGGGGUACGGGCUGAGCUGCCACGUCCCAGGGCCUUGCAGUGACUUUUCCUCCCCGAGGAUGGCCUGUCCUGCAGGCGCUGCCAUGGCAGUGCCACCACUGCUGGAUGAGGACGCUGGAAAUGGGAGCUGAGCCUCGCUGCACCCCUCGGGCACCUGGCCCCCCUGGCUGCGGGUGCUCCUUCACCCAAGGGCUCAGUGCAGCAUCCACCCCUCCGUGCCCCCCCUGUCCUGCUCCAGGCAGCAAUACCAAAGCCCACAGGUGGGUUUGGGUCACGGCUGCACCUCCACCCACGUGGGGCAGGGCAGGGACCUCAGCGGGGUGAGCUGUGGCCCCGGGGCAGGCAGGGAGGUGGCCCUGCCAUCAUCCCCAUGGCACUCCUGCUGCCCCAGCCCUGCCAGCCACCGCUGCCCUUCCAUGGAGAACCAGACUUGAAGAGAGCUCAAAUUAAAUGAAGUGAUUCCUAGCUGCUAAAGGUUGUGCAGCUGAGAGGAGAUGUGCUACUUGGGUGGAAGACACUGGGCAGACCCAUCCAGAUUUGGGACUCAGGGGCGAGGUGGUGAGAUGUGGCAUGCUCUGGAGAACACUGUCAAUGCAGCGUGUGACAACCCCUGCCCCUAUCUCCAUUAAGCAGCCUUGGAGGGACCAGCUCUCUUCCCUGCAAAGUUUUCCUGUCUCAGCCAUUUCUGUAGAUUAUGUGAAAAUAUACUUUGGAAAAUUGAA